GGGGGUGUAGCUCAGUGGCAGAGCACUUGCCUGGUGUGUGGAAGACCUGGGUUCGACCCCCAGUACCAGUG
rnacentral:tRNA from 1 species